AGUGAACGCUGGCGGUAGGCCUAACACAUGCAAGUCGAACGGCAGCACAGUAAGAGCUUGCUCUUACGGGUGGCGAGUGGCGGACGGGUGAGGAAUACAUCGGAAUCUACUUUUUCGUGGGGGAUAACGUAGGGAAACUUACGCUAAUACCGCAUACGACCUACGGGUGAAAGCAGGGGAUCUUCGGACCUUGCGCGAUUGAAUGAGCCGAUGUCGGAUUAGCUAGUUGGCAGGGUAAAGGCCCACCAAGGCGACGAUCCGUAGCUGGUCUGAGAGGAUGAUCAGCCACCCUGGAACUGAGACACGGUCCAGACUCCUACGGGAGGCAGCAGUGGGGAAUAUUGGACAAUGGGCGCAAGCCUGAUCCAGCCAUACCGCGUGGGUGAAGAAGGCCUUCGGGUUGUAAAGCCCUUUUGUUGGGAAAGAAAAGCAGCAGGUUAAUACCCCGCUGCUCUGACGGUACCCAAAGAAUAAGCACCGGCUAACUUCGUG
rnacentral:rRNA from 1 species